rnacentral:rRNA from 1 species
CCUACGGGUGGCAGCAGUGAGGAAUAUUGGUCAAUGGGCGCGAGCCUGAACCAGCCAAGUCGCGUGAGGGAAGACGGUCCUGUGGAUUGUAAACCUCUUUUGUCGGGGAGCAAAAGACGCCACGUGUGGCGUUCCGAGAGUACCCGAAGAAAAAGCAUCGGCUAACUCCGUGCCAGCAGCCGCGGUAAUACGGAGGAUGCGAGCGUUAUCCGGAUUUAUUGGGUUUAAAGGGUGCGCAGGCGGAAGAUCAAGUCAGCGGUAAAAUUGAGAGGCUCAACCUCUUCGAGCCGUUGAAACUGGUUGUCUUGAGUGAGCGAGAAGUAUGCGGAAUGCGUGGUGUAGCGGUGAAAUGCAUAGAUAUCACGCAGAACUCCAAUUGCGAAGGCAGCAUACCGGCGCUCAACUGACGCUCAUGCACGAAAGUGUGGGUAUCGAACAGGAUUAGAUACCCAGGUAGUC